AUUGAACGCUGGCGGCAGGCCUAACACAUGCAAGUCGAGCGGAUGAAGGGAGCUUGCUCCUGGAUUCAGCGGCGGACGGGUGAGUAAUGCCUAGGAAUCUGCCUGGUAGUGGGGGAUAACGUCCGGAAACGGGCGCUAAUACCGCAUACGUCCUGAGGGAGAAAGUGGGGGAUCUUCGGACCUCACGCUAUCAGAUGAGCCUAGGUCGGAUUAGCUAGUUGGUGGGGUAAAGGCCUACCAAGGCGACGAUCCGUAACUGGUCUGAGAGGAUGAUCAGUCACACUGGAACUGAGACACGGUCCAGACUCCUACGGGAGGCAGCAGUGGGGAAUAUUGGACAAUGGGCGAAAGCCUGAUCCAGCCAUGCCGCGGGUGUGAAGAAGGUCUUCGGAUUGUAAAGCACUUUAAGUUGGGAGGAAGGGCAGUAAGUUAAUACCUUGCUGUUUUGACGUGACCAACAGAAUAAGCACCGGCGAACUUCGU
rnacentral:rRNA from 1 species